GAGACGGUGCAUCGCGCGGUGCGAUUUCUCCAGCUGAAAUUUCGCGCCGGCCGAGGAGUAUCGCUAUUUUGAGUGCCGGUGAUACCGAGAUCGAUUGUGACAAAAUCGAACUUGGCCCGGAGAUGUGACGGAUUCCUAACGGCGACCUUGGCGGGAUGAUGGAUCUUGACGCAGCGGUGUCUUAAGCUCGCGAAAGAUCCAGGAAGACAGACGAUCAUGGAACUCACGUCAGAAAGAGGACUGCAGGAUCGCGCGGAUUAAGUGCCACCAUGGCGACGGGAUGGAGAUGGGUGCUGCUGAUCCUGACGAUCGUCUGGACGGUGAGCGACGGCUAUCUGACGGUGCUGCCGUCCGGGACGCCCGUCGGCACCGUCGUCUUCGAAGCCGGGGUGCCGCAGCUGGGCGGUCGCCGGAAAUACGAGGCGUCCAGCGAGCGCACCGCCUGGUUCGCCCGGAAGCUUCUCAAGGUACACCCGCACACGGGCCGCGUGACCGUGGCGAAGACGCUGAGCUGCGACGGUCUUCAAUAUCCGCGCGUCUUCACCUUCUACGUCGACUCGACGAGCUCGCGCCUCGGCAGAUCCACCAUCGACUACUACAGCUUGCCGCUGAGGAUCCUCAUCACCGGAUGCGGCAACGAGAAUCGCGAUCUGAUGGCCACGAGAAACUGGAUGGCGGAGACGCUGGCAUCCUACGCGAUGCCUAGCACGGACAGAUUCACCGAGGUUUGCCUGCGAACGUCUCAACUAGUGGCACCUCUCCGCGACUUCUUGCCGCAGACAGCGUUGAAGAAGUGCGAAAUCAGAUGGAGCGGGGUGGCGGAUCCGAAGUUUCUUGUGGAAGGCGCCGCCGGAGACUUGGUCUCCGCUACGAAGCAGUGCCUGGUGGAUCCGUUGUGGAAGAUCUCGGUCAACAUGAAUCUACGUUGCACGGGUGACUCGCGUUUAGUCGAUGUUGAGCAUCGGUUGAAGAUCGUGUUCCAUCAUCAUCAGCUGGACGACACCGAUCUGGGUAGAAGAGUGAGACGAGAACUGAAGAACCACUCGCCGUCCUUCGUUAACCAGUUUUACACCGCAGUGGUGGACGAGGAAAAGGAACCAGAAACCUUCGUAUAUAUGCUGACGGCGAGGGAUCCCGAACACGGCGCCCUUCGAUACUCUAUGAGUUCGCUGAUCGACGCGAGGUCGCAGGCGCUAUUUGCUCUCGAUCCUGUCACCGGAAACGUGACGACUCGCGCCAGAUUGGACAGGGAGAACCUCGACGUGCAUUAUUUCCGGGUGAUAGUAGUGGACGACUCAUUUCCUCCGCGCUCUGGGUCGACGACUCUUCAAGUUAAUGUGAUAGAUGUGAAUGAUCACGCUCCGAACUUUGAAUUGUCGCAAUAUGAUGCACCGGUGCCAGAAGGUAUCACUGUGGGCACCACAGUAAUCACUGUCAAAGCCACGGAUCAGGACAUCGGUAGAAAUGCCGAAGUAGAAUAUUCUAUCGUUUCCAUUACUGCCGGUGGGAGCACAAUACAAACAGAAGACACAGCGUCUUUCAGGAUUGACCCCAGAUCCGGUGUGAUCACUACGCGGACCGCGCUCGACCGCGAGCAAUACGAAAUCUACAAAAUUGUGCUGGGUGUCACGGAUCAGGCGACGCCACCCUCGGCGCGGCUUAGCGCGAACGCGACCGUAGUGGUGCAUGUGCUGGACGAUAACGAUAAUUAUCCGCAGUUCACCGAGCGCACGUACACGGCGUUUGUGCCAGAGGACUUAGACUACGCGAUGAACCCGAUAGUAGCUCGUAUCCGUGCGACGGAUGCGGACACCGGCGCGAACGCGGCCAUUCGCUACGCGAUUAUCGGCGGCAACACGCAGAACACCUUCUCCAUCGACUCGAUGAGCGGCGAUGUCACUUUGGUGAAGCCACUCGAUUACGAAUCCAACAAGAAUUAUAAGAUCGUUAUACGCGCCCAGGACAGCGGCCUGCCCGCUCGAUCAAACACCACUCAGUUGCUGGUGACGGUCAAGGACAUAAACGACAACGUGCCGAGGUUCUACACCAGUCAUUUUCAAGAAUCGGUGUCGGAGAAUGUGCCACUAGGAUACUCGGUGCUGAAGGUGCAGGCGUACGACGCCGAUGAGGGCAAUAACGCGCUCGUUAAGUACACCAUCGGUCCACGAGAUUUCACUGGCGCCUCCACGGAGAACUUUCCCAUCACCGUAAACACCGAGACUGGCUGGAUCUACACGACGAAGCAUUUAGAUCGCGAACUGUGCUCAAGAUAUCAGUUUACCGUAAUUGCGACGGAUUCCGGCACGGCACCAAAAUCCGCGAGCGCCACAGUGAUUCUCACAGUGAACGACGUGAACGACAACGAUCCUUACUUCGAGUCAAAAAACUACGAGGCCGCGGUGUCCGAGGACGAUCCGCCAGGCACCCCAGUCGCUUCGGUGAUCGCCACUGAUCCCGACGAAGACGCCCGGAUUCAUUAUGAAAUCACAGGUGGAAACACGCGCGGGCGCUUCUCCAUCACGUCGCACAACGGUCACGGCUUGAUCACCAUCGCGCAGCCGCUCGACUACAAGCAAGAGAAGCGAUUUGUGCUGACGGUGACAGCCUCGGACAGCGGUGGGCGAACCGACACCGCUCUCAUCUAUGUCAACGUGUCGGACGCGAACAACUUCUCGCCGGUAUUCGAGAACGCUCCGUAUUCCGUCUCCGUUUUCGAGGACGCGCCGAUUGGCAUGACGGUGCUGGUGGUAAGCGCCACCGACUCCGACGUCGGCAAGAACGCCCAGAUCACCUACAGCCUGGCCACCGACAGCGACGAGCAGACGGUCAGCGAAUUCACCAUUAAUUCGCAGACUGGUGCGAUUACUACGACAAAGACACUCGAUCGCGAACUGGUACCCUCGUACUUGUUGACGGUAACCGCCAGGGACGGCGGAAUGCCGCCGCUGUCGGAUACCACUGACGUGGAGAUUUCUGUCACGGACGUGAACGACAACGCACCUGUCUUCAAGGCAUCGCAGUAUCAAGGCUCGAUUCCCGAGGACGUCUUGGUGGGCACCAGUGUGCUCAGAGUCGCGGCGACCGACGCGGAUGUUGAUCUCAAUGGUCGAGUAAGAUACGCUUUAGAUGACAAUGGCGACGGCGCAUUCGCGAUCGAUUCGAUGACUGGCAUCAUUAGAACUGCAAAAGCUUUGGAUCGAGAAUCAGUGGCGCGUUACGUAUUGAAAGCUGCCGCCAUAGAUCGCGGUUCACCAGCGCUUUCAUCCAUCGUACCUGUCACCAUUAAGAUCGAGGAUAUCAACGACUCGCCGCCCGCUUUCGAGAACGACAAGAUUAUUCUCUACAUCGCCGAGAACUCGCCGAUUGGCUCGACCGUCGGUGAGAUCUACGCUCACGAUCCGGACGAAGGGGUGAACGCGGUGGUGCAAUACAGCAUCAUCGGCGGCGAGGAUUCCAACAGCUUCACCCUAAAUAUUCGCCAGGGAUCCGAUCGAGCGGAGCUCAUCACUCUCGAAGAACUCGAUUACGAGUCGCCGAAGAAGAAGUUUGAACUGGUGGUGCGCGCCGCGUCGCCGCCGCUGCGCUCCGACGCGAUGGUGCAGAUUUUGGUGACCGACGUGAACGACAACGCGCCGGUGCUGAAAGACUUCCAGAUCAUCUUCAACAAUUUCAAAGACUUUUUCCCGAUCGCGCCGAUCGGCCGGAUACCGGCGGUGGACGCCGACGUCACCGAUAAUCUCGUCUACAGCAUCCUCGCCGGUAACAACGCCAAUCUCAUCGACCUCAACAGGACCUCCGGCGAGAUUCGGCUGUCGCCGCAGCUCAACACGAAUGUACCGCGUGUCGCGACAAUGGAGGUCGCCGUGACGGACGGCAUCAACGAGGCGAAGGCCACGAUGACGCUGUCGGUGCGUCUGAUUACCGACGAAAUGCUGCUGAAUUCGAUCACCGUUCGAUUGGACGACAUGACGGUGGAGGCGUUUCUCAGUCCUCUCCUCGGAUAUUUCCUAGACGGUCUGGCGGCCAUCGUCCCGUGCCCGCGCGAGAACAUCUUCCUCUUCAGCAUCCAGGAGGACGUCAACGUACACGCUAAGAUCCUGAACGUCAGCUUCUCGGCGCGCAAGGUGGAGCCCGGCACGGUCGACGAGUUCUACAGUCCGCAGUUUCUUCAGGAACGAGUCUAUCUAAAUCGCGGUAUCCUGGCGAGACUGUCAACCGUGACCGUUUUGCCGUUCGACGACAACCUGUGCGUCCGCGAGCCCUGUUUGAAUUUUGAGGAGUGCCUGACGGUGCUGAAGUUCGGCAACGCGUCCGGCUUCGCCAGCAGCGACACGGUUCUCUUCCGGCCGAUUUAUCCGGUGACGACAUUCGCCUGCAGAUGCGCACGCGGCUUUACGGGCAGUCGCGAGGCCUACAUGUGCGACACCGAGGUGAACCUGUGCUACUCGAAUCCCUGCGUGAACGGCGGCACCUGCCGCAGACGGGAGAGCGGUUACUCGUGCACCUGCGGGCCAAGCUUCACCGGCAACAACUGCGAGAUCUCGCUCGACUACGGCACCUGCUCGCCCGACAUCUGCAGGGGCGGCUCGCGAUGCACCAUAAAGAGUACCGGCGGCUUCGCCUGCGAGGGCUGUCCGGUGUCCGCGCUGGAAAGCGUGACGCCACUCUGCGAGCUGAAGGCGCGCAGUUUCGGCCCGGCGACUUUUCUCACCUUCGCCUCCCUCAGACAACGCCAUCGUCUCCAUCUCAGGCUGAAAUUCGCCACCGAGCUGCCAAAUGGCCUGCUGCUUUACAACGGCAGAUACAACGAGCGCCACGACUUUAUCGCUCUCGAGAUUGUCGACUCGAGGGUGCAGUUCAGUUUUUCUCUCGGCGAUGAGGUGACCAGAGCGACGGCGAGCAUUCCCGAUGGAGUUUCCGACGGCCGAUGGCACGAGGUGAUAGUUUCGUACAUCAACCGGACGGUGACGGUGUCCCUGGACGACUGCGACGUCGCGCUCGCGCUCGAACACGGCGAGAGGCUGGGGCCGAAGUGGGCCUGCGCCGGCAAGAACGAGAGGAUUCUCGAAGAGCGCUGCGGACUCGUCACGGAAACCUGUCACAGAUUCCUGGAUCUCACGGGACCGUUGCAGCUGGGCGGUCUACCGGCGAUCCCGUCCAGUUUUCAAAUCAGAAACAAGGAUUACGUUGGAUGCAUGAGCGAUCUAUACAUCGAUCACGUUUUCGUCGAUUUGAACUCCUUCGUGGCGGACAACGGAACCAACGCCGGCUGCCCCGAGAAGACCGCUUUCUGCGCCUCGUCACCUUGCAGAAACAACGGCAAGUGCCGUGAAAUGUGGUCAGGCUUCGUGUGCGAGUGCGAGGACGACUUCAGCGGGCCCACAUGCACCGAAGAGGUUGGCAAGCCAUGGAGUUUCCAAGGCGACGGUAUGCUGAGCUUCAAUCCACUGCUGAGACCGAUCCAACUACCUUGGUUGAUUGCCCUGAGCCUGCGAACUCGGGCGCAACAGGCGUUUCUGAUGAACGUGCAAGUCGGCCAAAACAGUUCGGCUCUACUGGACAUUCGAGACGGCAAGCUAGUAGUCUCGCUGGACGGCACCGACGUGAUUCGCACCGCCGUCAUUAUCGCCGACGGCGAGUGGCAUCGAUUGGAAAUCUCCUGGCAAAGCGGUCACGUGUCCCUGGACGUGGACUACCGCAAUCGACCUGUGACCCUGCCGCUGCUGGCCAAACUGCAGGGUCUCUACGUCGGCAAGAUCCUCGUGGGCGGUCUGGAUCAGCCGACGAAUUCCGAGUUCAUAUCCUUCAACGGCUGUCUGCAGAACAUACGUAUCGGCACGAAUCAGAGCGUUCUCCAGCGGCCGACCGUCCAGGAGAACGUCGGCACCGGCUGUCCGACGGAGUCCGAAUGCCGGAAACGGAACUGUCCGGAAGCCUCGGAUUGCAUCUCCCAGUGGCAGUCCAGCGAGUGCAUCUGCAUGACCGGUCACGUCGGUCGCGAUUGCGAGCGCGUUUGCGAUUUGGAGCCGUGCAACGGCACCGGCACCUGCGUCGAGGACACGAGCGACGCGAGGCGGGGCUAUCGUUGCGAGUGCAACUCGCCCGAAUACUCCGGCGACUACUGCGAGGUCAAGGCCGAGCAGCCCUGCCCGGCCACGUGGUGGGGCUCGCCGGUUUGCGGACCUUGCCACUGCGACGAGUCCAAGGGCUACGAUCCGGCGUGCAACAAGACCACCGGAGAAUGCUACUGCAAGGAGAAUCAUUAUCAGCCGACCGGACGGAAGGAGUGUAUACCCUGCGAGUGUUACGCGACCGGAAGCUUCGGGCCGCGCUGCGACAGCGAGACCGGCCAGUGUCGCUGUCGGACCGGCGUGAUCGGUCGAUCGUGCACCGACUGUCCGAAUCCCUACGCCGAGGUGACCUUGAGGGGUUGCGAGGUGGUCUACGACGGCUGCCCCAGAUCGUACUCGGACGGUCUCUGGUGGCCGAGGACUCUCUUCGGGAUGACGGCUAUCGAAAGCUGUCCAGACACCGCCGAAGGCAAGGCCUCCAGAUCCUGCGACGAUAAACUGGGCGGCUGGCAGCCGCCCGAUCUGUUCAACUGCACCUCGGAGGCUUUCAUCGAGCAACGAUACCAGCUGGCGGCUCUGGAAACCAAGGAUCUUAUGUUAAACACUUACGUGGCCGUGAAAAUGGCGAAGGAUGUUCACAAAGCGGUGAAUAUCACGAGGGAAAUGUACGGCGCGGAUCUUCUCGUGGCGGAAUCCUUGCUGGUGGCAUUGCUACGUUACGAGGAGAGUCUGGUGGGAUUGAAUUUGACUCACAGCCAGGACAAGGAUUACGUUUCUCAUCUCGUCGGCAUAGCUGGUGCGAUUCUGAGAUCCAAAUACAGGAACAAAUGGGAGAAGAUACAGGAACUUAACGGGGACAGUCCUGAUAAGAUCCUGGACGCUAUGGCGAGCUACUUGAAGACUCUGACAGCGUCCCAGCACGACACUUUCACCAGUCCGUUCGAAGUGGUGGACGGUAACGUUGUGUUGGGUCUAGAUGUCGUAACAUCGGAAAGCCUCUUCGGUUACGAAGCCCCGGAAUAUAUUCCGGGGGAUCCCACCUUGUCGACGGCGAGACCGACGGAAGCCGAUCGUAAAGUCAUCCUUCCCGACACCUCCGAUUUUCUCAGCACUCCGGCGCAUUUCGGUCCGUCUAUCAGCUUCCCGAAAUACAACAAUUACAUGGCCGAUCCCAGUAAAUUUGAUCCGCAUUCGAAAAUUCAAGUGCCUCUCAGCACGCUCGGCAUUAAACCGCUCAUGCAGGGUGAGCUGAAUGUGAAGAACAGCCUGAACAAUCGGAAGGCCGUGCUGAGUUACGUGCAGUACAAAGAACUCGGCACCCUCUUGCCGCAAAGAUUCGACGAUUCGGUGUCGGUUCGAUGGGGUGUGGAGGUAGCAGUUGGCUCGCCUGUGAUGACCGUCUCUGUAUUGGUUCCCUCGGACAACGGUUACGAGUCUUUAACAGGAAUUCCUUUGCAGUCGCCGAUCCAAGUCAGACUUUGGCUUAACGAGAACGAUGAUUUCAAGACCAGAACGAAUCCACAAUGCGUACAUUGGAGCAUGGCGAGAGGCGUGGGCGAAUGGAGUCGAAUGGGCUGCACUACGGAAAUCGAAGACAAUUCUUUAUCUUUCGGCACUAUCGUGAAUUGUUCCUGCAUGAAAUUGUCCACUUUCGCCAUACUGACGGACGUCCUCGACCUGGAAUAUGUCCCCGAGCCAUCGCUGCUGGAGGACGUAACUAGUUACAGCGCAUUCAUGCUUGCCUUACCGCUGUUAUUGACCGCCCUUUUGAUCCUGGCGUUAAUUCGCGGCGGAAGCACCAAUUCUAACAGCAUUCACAAGAAUCUGGUGCUGUGUGUUUUCGUGGCGGAGAUUCUGUAUUUGAUCGCGCUCAAAGCCAGGAAUCCUCUCAUCUCAAAUGAAUUUCCGUGCAAACUGACCGCGAUAGGACUGCAUUACGCUUGGCUGAGCACCUUCGCCUGGACUCUCGUGGAUUCCGUCCAUCUUUAUCGAAUGCUGACGGAGAUGAGAGACGUGAAUCACGGCCAGAUGAGAUUCUAUUACACCAUGGGAUACGGUCUGCCGGCUGUUAUCGUUGGACUCACCAUCGGCGUCAGGGCCGAUCAAUACGGAAACUUUUACUUUUGCUGGCUGUCCAUCUACGAGACCGUGAUUUGGUCUCUAAUAGGGCCCGUCUGCGCGGCCGUAUUGGUGAACUUCUGCAUUCUGAUAAUGUGCAUCCGUGCGGCGUUUACUCUGAAGGAGCAUAUCAUGGGUUUCGGAAAUCUACGAACGCUCUUAUGGCUGUCGGUGGCUUCCUUACCCUUAUUGGGAUCGACAUGGACGCUGGCAGUUCUCAACGCAUCCGAGAACUCGCCAAUACUAUCAUACUUGCUGAGCAUUGCUAUCGUAAUUCACGCAGCGUUCAGUCUGAUUGGCUACUGUUUCAUCAACGGCAGAGUGAGAAGAAAUUUAUAUCAGAGCCUGUUAAGGUGUAUGGGCAAAAAGACGUCCUUGUUGGAAGGCAGCAUGGGCAACGGAAGUAGCAGUCAGAACGUAAAUGGCCACUCGCGCUCGGCGUUAGCUUACUCGUCGACCUACAGCGGAGCAGAAUCUGUGUGCAGAAGAGUUCACGUUGGCGUUUCCACGAGUAGCACGACUUCAAGAAGUACAAAUAAAACGGGCUCAAGCCCGUAUCGCAGUGAUACACACUUGAGACACACAUCAACGUCCACGAGCAAUUACAAUAGUGAUCGGGAUCCGUACUUGUCGUCGAGGAGUCACCGGUCAGCGCUAAACUCUCGACAAGUGGAAACAACGGAAACGCGAGAUCAGCGCAGAGAAUCGGAAUCAGAUUCCGACGGCUCGCAAGCGGAGGGUGGCGGUUUGGAUCUCGCCAGUUCGCACAGCUCCGAUGAGGACGAUGUGACAUCGAGGUCGCACAGGAAUAUGGGAGUGUCCACGCAGCAGCAUGUCACUCACAGCUACCUGCCGAAUAUUCACACUAAUCCUGCUGAACACUUGAACAUACUGUGUUCAAACGCCGAGCUGUUCCCCAACAUCAAGCCCAUCUACGCCCCUCGGUGGAGCUCUCAACUGCCGGAAGCAUACCUGUCAUCGAAUGUAAUGGACGUACGCGGCAGCCAAUGGUCCGGCGGCACCAUGUCAGACAAUGAGAUGGCUUCGAACAAGACGUCAAGCCCGAACCCGCUGCCGUAUCCGGAAAUGAGCUCGCCGCCGAAGAGCCAGCCGGACGAAAACUAUUCGGAAGGUGAAGAGAAGGUGCACCACCUGGGCGAAAAGUACUUGUUCCCUUACACAGCCGAGGAGGAUCAUACGGUGUCGCCCACCCCGUACAUGUUGUCCAUGUCGUCGCGUAUCCUGGCGUCCAGCAUGAGCCACCAUUCGCAGAACUCGAAUCACGAGAAUCUGAGCGGCUCUGAGCAGCGUUACGGCAGCCUGAAGCGCGGUCAGAGUCUGCACGGCUCGCAGCAUGACAAUCUCAGCGGUUCCGAGAGGUACGGCAGCUUGAAACGCGGCAAGAUGGCCGCCUCCGCGGUGCUGGAGAACACGCCGGAAUAUAUUUUGCCGAUGAGCGGCAGGAUACUGUCGAGCUCGUUGACGCACGAUCUGCAGCACAGCAAUGAACUGGCGGCGCUCAGGCAGCAGCAACAGCAGCAGCCGCAUUAUGAGCAAACAAUCACUGAAACUGAGUGGCAUUGGAACAUUCUAACAUAACUAUCUUUUCUGUGAUCCCUGCUUACCCUGACGACUGUCGAUAUUAUUAGCGAGGAGGAAGGAUACUAAUGCGGAAACGUCCGUCUGACGAAGUCCGUGCCACAAACGAGACAACGUACAAAGUAAUUUAGCUUACACCUAAUUUAAGUGUCCAACGCGCAAUAAAGACUCGAACGAUCCUCGAUAUAUAUUUUAAGAAGCGGCCAUGACUGUGUACUUACAUACUUAGCCAUAUUAAUUAGCAUGUAUGUGUGAGUACCUGUUCAUAUAUAUUGCAUAUGGAAGGUCCGUCGGAGUAAUUCUGAGAGGUAAAUGUCGCACUGAAAUAUUUUCCGAUAAUUUAAUCAAAUUAAAAUGUUGAAAAAUUAUAUCAUUAAACGAAUAUUCAAAAUAUCCGCUUGUGUCACAUCGGAAAAUGUCGCAGUGUCACGUUUAUUUCGUCGCAAUUGAAGGACUCGUUGCAAGGAAGAGGUGAAUUCGUAAUUUAUAAAUUUUAUUUUCGAUAGAAUUUCGCAUUGAAAAUAGACGUUGCAAAUUAUAGAUUCACCUCGUUUGCGCCGAAUCGUCUGACCGCUCUGACCGACCCGACACAAAAUACUCCUGCGCUUAAUUAUUACUUUUGACUUAGGAGCGGCUCGGCCCCGCAUUGCGAAUCUCCGAUUCUCAAUGAAUGAUCCUUGCCGCUGAUUUGGCAAUGGCGUUCGGAAGAGCACGGAGAACAAAAAUGAUCUCUAAGCAUUGUCGCAUACUCAUUAGUCUCAUUCCAUCGUACAUUUAGGUUCUCUCUAUUCUUAAGCUCAAUAUUGUGCAAUGUAUACAUUCCACUGCCUGUCCUUUCUCUCGUAUAUAUGUAUAUGUAUAAUUUUAGUUUCAUUUUUUUUUAUAUAGAAGUUUACAAUCUUUUCCCUUAUUUUACAUGCCAUGAAGAUAAAGACGAAGAAGAAGAAGAAGUAGCACAAAUCGAGAAGCGUACUUUUCGUACUUUUGUAUAUAUGCUUAUACGACAAAUCGAACAAAGAAUGAAAUACAUAAUUUAUAUACUCUUCA
rnacentral:misc_RNA from 1 species